rnacentral:rRNA from 1 species
AACGAACGCUGGCGGCAUGCCUAACACAUGCAAGUCGAACGAGACCUUCGGGUCUAGUGGCGCACGGGUGCGUAACGCGUGGGAACCUGCCCUUAGGUUCGGAAUAACUCCCCGAAAGGGGUGCUAAUACCGGAUAAUUUCUUCGGACCAAAGAUUUAUCGCCCUUGGAUGGGCCCGCGUUGGAUUAGCUAGUUGGUAGGGUAAAAGCCUACCAAGGCGACGCUCCAUAGCUGGUCUGAGAGGAUGAUCAGCCACACUGGGACGGAGACACGGCCCAGACUCCUACGGGAGGCAGCAGUGGGGAAUAUUGGACAAUGGGCGAAAGCAUGAUCCAGCAAUGCCGCGUGAGUGAUGAAGGCCUUAGGGUUGUAAAGCUCUUUUACCCGGGAUGAUAAUGACAGUACCGGGAGAAUAAGCUCCGGCUAACUCCGUG